UACGAGGGGGGCGAGCGUUGUUCGGAAUUAUUGGGCGUAAAGGGUGCGUAGGCGGUUUGGUAAGUCUUGUGUGAAAUCUCCAGGCUCAACUUGGAGUCUGCACGAGAAACUGCCGGGCUUGAGUGUGGGAGAGGUGAGUGGAAUUCCCGGUGUAGCGGUGAAAUGCGUAGAUAUCGGGAGGAACAUCAGUGGCGAAGGCGGCCAUCUGGGACAACACUGACGCUGAAGCACGAAAGCGUGGGGAGCAAACAGG
rnacentral:rRNA from 1 species